rnacentral:rRNA from 1 species
AGCGGAUGAACUGAGGGUAGCGGAGAAAUUCCAAUCGAACUUGGAGAUAGCUGGUUCUCUCCGAAAUAGCUUUAGGGCUAGCCUCAAGUGAUGAUUAUUGGAGGUAGAGCACUGUUUGGACGAGGGGCCCCUCUCGGGUUACCGAAUUCAGACAAACUCCGAAUGCCAAAUAAUUUAACUUGGGAGUCAGAAUGUGGGUGAUAAGGUCCAUAUUCGAAAGGGAAACAGCCCAGACCACCAGCUAAGGUCCCAAAAUAUAUGUUAAGUGGAAAAGGAUGUGGCGUUGCCCAGACAACUAGGAUGUUGGCUUAGAAGCAGCCAUCAUUUAAAGAGUGCGUAAUAGCUCACUAGUCGAGUGACACUGCGCCGAAAAUGUACCGGGGCUAAACAUAUUACCGAAGCUGUGGAUUGUCCUUUGGACAAUGGUAGGAGAGCGUUCUAAGGGCGUUGAAGCAUGAUCGCAAGGACAUGUGGAGCGCUUAGAAGU